rnacentral:rRNA from 1 species
AUUGAACGCUGGCGGCAUGCCUUACACAUGCAAGUCGAACGGUAACAGGUCUUCGGAUGCUGACGAGUGGCGAACGGGUGAGUAAUACAUCGGAACGUGCCCGAUCGUGGGGGAUAACGGAGCGAAAGCUUUGCUAAUACCGCAUACGAUCUACGGAUGAAAGCAGGGGACCGCAAGGCCUUGCGCGGACGGAGCGGCCGAUGGCAGACUAGGUAGUUGGUGGGAUAAAAGCUUACCAAGCCGACGAUCUGUAGCUGGUCUGAGAGGACGACCAGCCACACUGGGACUGAGACACGGCCCAGACUCCUACGGGAGGCAGCAGUGGGGAAUUUUGGACAAUGGGCGAAAGCCUGAUCCAGCCAUGCCGCGUGCAGGAUGAAGGCCUUCGGGUUGUAAACUGCUUUUGUACGGAACGAAAAGACUCUUUCUAAUAAAGAGGGUCCAUGACGGUACCGUAAGAAUAAGCACCGGCUAACUACGUG